CCUGUGGUCAGGGGCCAGGGUUCGACUGUGUGCCUGCUGCCGGGACGUCCGAGCUGUCGGGAGGCUCGUGCCCCCAGUACGAUUUCAACAGCAGCCUGGGGUUCUGCUCCACCCUCGAUGAAUCUCACUAUGAGAAUCUUUCCAAUCAGGGACAUGUGGCUUCCUGUGACCAUGACACCCUUAGAACUCUGGUCACCAAGGCACCAACUCACUGUUCUAACAAAGGAAAGAAAGAGAAAGGUUUAAGCAUCUAUCCUGCCUUUCCUGGAUAAACUCCAAUUCAAGGUCGGGCUGUGAACGGCUGAUCACGAGGCAUUGUUGACUACACUCUGUGAUGACCAGGCCUUCAGAAGAAGUUGGUUGGGGAUAUUUAUUAAUAUUCAUGCUUAUCCCCUGUACUCAGUGUGUUUUGUGUCUGUGAAUGCUCACAUAAUAAAAAUGUCUUAAUUAGCAAGAGCUCUGUCUAGAUGCAUAA